rnacentral:rRNA from 1 species
UCUACGGGAGGCAGCAGUGGGGGAUAUUGCACAAUGGAGGAAACUCUGAUGCAGCGACGCCGCGUGAGUGAAGACGGUCUUCGGAUUGUAAACCUCUGUCUUUGGGGAAGAAAAUGACGGUACCCAAAUAGGAACCUCCGGCUAACUCCGUGCCAGCAGCCGCGGUAAUACGUAGGGAGCGAGCGUUGUCCGGAAUUACGGGGUGUAACGGGAGCGGAGGCGGGCGAGAAAGUUGAAUGUUAAAUCUACCGGCUUAACUGGGAGGGGCGUUGAAAACUUCUUGUCUUGAGUGAAGUAGAGGCAGGCGGAAUUCCUGGUGUAGCGGUGAAAUGCGUAGAUAUUAGGAGGAACACCAGUGGCGAAGGCGGCCUGCUGGGCUGUAACUGACGCUGAGGCUCGAAAGCGUGGGGAGCAAACAGGAUUAGAUACCCGGGUAGUC